GAUGAACGCUGGCGGCGUGCCUAAUACAUGCAAGUCGAGCGAACAGACGAGGAGCUUGCUCCUCUGACGUUAGCGGUGGACGGGUGAGUAACACGUGGAUAACCUACCUAUAAGACUGGGAUAACUUCGGGAAACCGGAGCUAAUACCGGAUAAUAUAUUGAACCGCAUGGUUCAAUAGUGAAAGACGGUUUUGCUGUCACUUAUAGAUGGAUCCGCGCCGCAUUAGCUAGUUGGUAAGGUAACGGCUUACCAAGGCGACGAUGCGUAGCCGACCUGAGAGGGUGAUCGGCCACACUGGAACUGAGACACGGUCCAGACUCCUACGGGAGGCAGCAGUAGGGAAUCUUCCGCAAUGGGCGAAAGCCUGACGGAGCAACGCCGCGUGAGUGAUGAAGGUCUUCGGAUCGUAAAACUCUGUUAUUAGGGAAGAACAAAUGUGUAAGUAACGAUGCACGUCUUGACGGUACCGAAGCAGAAAGCCACGGCUAACUACGU
rnacentral:rRNA from 1 species